UCCGGGAUCGUCUAGCGGCAGGACACCUCCCUCUGGAGGAGGGUACCGUGGUUCGAAUCCACGUCCCGGAACCA
rnacentral:tRNA from 1 species